GUCUCUUCGGAGACAUCCGAUAAAAUUGGAACGAUACAGAGAAGAUUAGCAUGGCCCCUACGCAAGGAUGACACGCACAAAUCGAGAAAUAGUCCAAAUUUUU
rnacentral:snRNA from 1 species